rnacentral:rRNA from 1 species
ACGGGUGAGUAAUGUCUGGGGAUCUGCCUGAUGGAGGGGGAUAACUACUGGAAACGGUAGCUAAUACCGCAUAACGUCGCAAGACCAAAGAGGGGGACCUUCGGGCCUCUUGCCAUCGGAUGAACCCAGAUGGGAUUAGCUAGUAGGUGGGGUAAUGGCUCACCUAGGCGACGAUCCCUAGCUGGUCUGAGAGGAUGACCAGCCACACUGGAACUGAGACACGGUCCAGACUCCUACGGGAGGCAGCAGUGGGGAAUAUUGCACAAUGGGCGCAAGCCUGAUGCAGCCAUGCCGCGUGUGUGAAGAAGGCCUUCGGGUUGUAAAGCACUUUCAGCGAGGAGGAAGGCAUUGAGGUUAAUAACCUUGGUGAUUGACGUUACUCGCAGAAGAAGCACCGGCUAACUCCGUGCCAGCAGCCGCGGUAAUACGGAGGGUGCAAGCGUUAAUCGGAAUUACUGGGCGUAAAGCGCACGCAGGCGGUUUGUUAAGUCGGAUGUGAAAUCCCCGGGCUCAACCUGGGAACUGCAUUCGAAACUGGCAAGCUUGAGUCUUGUAGAGGGGGGUAGAAUUCCAGGUGUA